GUACUUUCCCGGCAGGUUGGAUACCAGGAUCACAAAGGUGCUUUCACCUGGUGAGGUUUAUCCAUUGAUCUCUGUGUAAGCUGAUCCCUGCGAUUUCCCCAAAUGUAGGGAAAUUGACUGCAUAAUUUAUCAUAAUUUAUAAUAGUGGGGGGGCUCUGUAAA